UACGGGGGGGGCAAGCGUUGUUCGGAAUUACUGGGCGUAAAGGGCUCGUAGGCGGCCAACUAAGUCAGACGUGAAAUCCCUCGGCUUAACCGGGGAACUGCGUCUGAUACUGGAUGGCUUGAGAUUGGGAGAGGGAUGCGGAAUUCCAGGUGUAGCGGUGAAAUGCGUAGAUAUCAGGAGGAACACCGAUGGCGAAGGCAGGUCUCUGGGCCACUACUGACGCUGAGAAGCGAAAGCAUGGGGAGCGAACAGG
rnacentral:rRNA from 1 species